rnacentral:rRNA from 1 species
GCAGCAGCCGCGGUAAUACGGAGGACCCGCGCGUUAUCCGGAUUCAUUGGGUUUAAAGGGUGCGUAGGCGGCCCGGUCAGUCAGCGGUGAAAGGCUCCUGCUCCACAGGAGAGCUGCCGUUGAUACUGCUGGGCUAGAAUCUUAGCGAGGCGGGCGGAAUGCGCGGUGUAGCGGUGAAAUGCAUAGAUAUCGCGCAGAACGCCGAUUGGGGAGCCAGCUCGCCAGCUGAGUAUUGACGCUGAGGCACGAAAGCGUGGGGAUCGAACAGGAUUAGAUACCCUGGUAGUCCACGCCGUAAACGAUGAUAGCUCGCUCUUGGCCCGCAAGGGUCAGGGGCUUAGCGAAAGCGUUAAGCUAUCCACCUGGGGAGUACGCCGGCAACGGUGAAACUCAAAGGAAUUGACGGGGGCCCGCACAAGCGGAGGAGCAUGUGGUUUAAUUCGAUGGUACGCGAGGAACCUUACCUAGACUUGAACGCAUUAGGAAUAGAUUAGAAAUAGUUUAGCCAGCAAUGGCCUAUUGCGAGGUGCUGCAUGGUUGUCGUCAGCUCGUGCCGUGAGGUGUUAGGUUAAGUCCUGCAACGAGCGCAACCCCUACUUUUAGUUGCCAUCAGGUAAAGCUGGGCACUCUAGAAGAACUGCCUACGCAAGUAGAGAGGAAGGUGGGGAUGACGUCAAAUCAGCACGGCCCUUACGUCUAGGGCUACACACGUGCUACAAUGGCCGGUACAGAGGGCAGCUACUGGGUGACCAGAUGCGAAUCUCGAAAGCCGGUCUCAGUUCGGAUCGGAGUCUGCAACCCGACUCCGUGAAGUUGGAUUCGCUAGUAAUCGCGUAUCAGCCAUGACGCGGUGAAUACGUUCCCGGGCCUUGUACACACCGCCCGUCAAGCCAUGGGAGCUGGGGGGACCUGAAGUCCGUAACCGAGAGGAGCGGCCUAGGGUAAAAUCAGUGACUGGGGCUAAGUCGUAACAAGGUA